rnacentral:rRNA from 1 species
AACGAACGCUGGCGGCAUGCCUAACACAUGCAAGUCGAACGAGACCUUCGGGUCUAGUGGCGCACGGGUGCGUAACGCGUGGGAACCUGCCCUUAGGUUCGGAAUAACUCCCCGAAAGGGGUGCUAAUACCGGAUAAUGUCUUCGGACCAAAGAUUUAUCGCCUUUGGAUGGGCCCGCGUUGGAUUAGCUAGUUGGUAGGGUAAAAGCCUACCAAGGCGACGAUCCAUAGCUGGUCUGAGAGGAUGAUCAGCCACACUGGGACUGAGACACGGCCCAGACCCCUACGGGGGGCAGCAGUGGGGAAUAUGGGAAAAUGGGCGAAAGCCUGACCCAGCAAGGCCGGGGGGGUGAUGAAGGCCUUAGGGUUGUAAAGCUCUUUUACCCGGGAUGAUAAGGACGGUACCGGGAAAAUAAGCCCCGGCUAACCCCGU